GAAUGUGAGGGUGACCUGUCACCCCACUGAUCUCCACGUUGAUUGAGCUGAUUUGGUCAGCUAGGAGAUGUCCCCUUCCUCACCACUGCACAUGCAUCCCUUCCACAACUGCACUCAGUGGAGGAGGAUCACCUUCCCCAAUACAGGACUGUUCUUUGGUGAAGGGAAUAGGUGUAGGUGCCCUUCCCUGCUAAACAAGCCCUCAAGGUCCAUUUGCAGGAGAACACAGGGUAGUCAAACUUCUAAGACCUACCACCCUCACCCCCAAAUUAAAGCUGUGCAUUAAGUU
rnacentral:snRNA from 1 species